UUUUAAAAAAAAUUUGUACCCUGAAGCCUCUUUCUGUAGUCUUGAACAAAAUGUAGGGAAAUAGCUGUUUUACUGCUGAUGCUGUUGAAAUUUGGA